rnacentral:rRNA from 1 species
GACGAACGCUGGCGGCGUGCCUAAUACAUGCAAGUCGAACGCUUCUUUCCUCCCGAGUGCUUGCACUCAAUUGGAAAGAGGAGUGGCGGACGGGUGAGUAACACGUGGGUAACCUACCCAUCAGAGGGGGAUAACACUUGGAAACAGGUGCUAAUACCGCAUAACAGUUUAUGCCGCAUGGCAUAAGAGUGAAAGGCGCUUUCGGGUGUCGUUGAUGGAUGGACCCGCGGUGCAUUAGCUAGUUGGUGAGGUAACGGCUCACCAAGGCCACGAUGCAUAGCCGACCUGAGAGGGUGAUCGGCCACACUGGGACUGAGACACGGCCCAGACUCCUACGGGAGGCAGCAGUAGGGAAUCUUCGGCAAUGGACGAAAGUCUGACCGAGCAACGCCGCGUGAGUGAAGAAGGUUUUCGGAUCGUAAAACUCUGUUGUUAGAGAAGAACAAGGACGUUAGUAACUGAACGUCCCCUGACGGUAUCUAACCAGAAAGCCACGGCUAACUACG